CAGAUUUAUGUUUCCGUAGUGUGGGAGCUUUGUUCUUUCACUGUUUGCGGAUAUCUCUCUGUCGGCUAGGCUGGAGUGUAGUGGUGUGAUCAUCAUGGCUCACUGUGGCCUCAAACUCCUACUAUGGACAGGAGACAGGGAAAUACUGGGUAGAAGAGGACAGUUCCCCAGCAAAGGCCCCACCCUCAAGCCUGGAUACCCAUGGCCCUAAAUGGGAACAGGCAUUUCUGUUUUUGCACCCCAAAAGUUGACUUUUGGCCCACAUGCUCCCUAUCCUGUACCCAUAUAAACCCCAAAUUCCAGGCUCCAGAGAGAGACAAGGAGAUGAGGAGACAAGCAGACGAACAGCGGAACAAUGCAGCAGAGAAAGAGAGAAGAGAAGGAACGUCUGAACGUCGAGAGGAGUUCGGCUGCUGGACGGCCAAACUCCAGGGGAAGAUCAUCUUCCCACUCCAUUCCCCCUCCAGCUCCCCAUCCAUCCCACUGAGAGCCACUUCCACCACUCAAUAAAAGCCCCACAUUUAUCCUUCAAGUCCAUGUGUGAUCCAAUUCUUCUGGGAUGCUAAACAAGAACCUGGGAUACAGAAAGCUGUCACACUGGCCCUCUGCCCUUGCAGAAAGGCAGAGGGGCCCUGAGCUGGUUGAUACUUAAGCUGUCUGUGGAUGGCAGAACUAAAAGAGCAUUGG
rnacentral:lncRNA from 10 species